rnacentral:pre_miRNA from 1 species
CUUAAACUGGCAGACAGAUAAUGCUAGAGCCCAUAAUCAUUUCUUGAAGAAGAUAGAUGAAAAGAUUGACAAGAUCUAUACCCAAGUAAGCACAAAUGAUGAAAGGUUACAAUAUCUGUCUGAAAGGAUGAAGA